UGCUUAGGAAUCUGCCUAUUAGUGGGGGACAACAUCUCGAAAGGGAUGCUAAUACCGCAUACGUCCUACGGGAGAAAGCAGGGGAUCUUCGGACCUUGCGCUAAUAGAUGAGCCUAAGUCGGAUUAGCUAGUUGGUGGGGUAAAGGCCUACCAAGGCGACGAUCUGUAGCGGGUCUGAGAGGAUGAUCCGCCACACUGGGACUGAGACACGGCCCAGACUCCUACGGGAGGCAGCAGUGGGGAAUAUUGGACAAUGGGGGGAACCCUGAUCCAGCCAUGCCGCGUGGUGAAGAAGGCCUUAUGGUUGUAAAGCACUUUAAGCGAGGAGGAGGCUACUUUAGUUAAUACCUAGAGAUAGUGGACGUUACUCGCAGAAUAAGCACCGGCUAACUCUGUGCCAGCAGCCGCGGUAAUACAGAGGGUGCGAGCGUUAAUCGGAUUUACUGGGCGUAAAGCGUGCGUAGGCGGCUUAUUAAGUCGGAUGUGAAAUCCCCGAGCUUAACUUGGGAAUUGCAUUCGAUACUGGUGAGCUAGAGUAUGGGAGAGGAUGGUAGAAUUCCAGGUGUAGCGGUGAAAUGCGUAGAGAUCUGGAGGAAUACCGAUGGCGAAGGCAGCCAUCUGGCCUAAUACUGACGCUGAGGUACGAAAGCAUGGGGAGCAAACAGGAUUAGAUACCCUGGUAGUCCAUGCCGUAAACGAUGUCUACUAGCCGUUGGGGCCUUUGAGGCUUUAGUGGCGCAGCUAACGCGAUAAGUAGACCGCCUGGGGAGUACGGUCGCAAGACUAAAACUCAAAUGAAUUGACGGGGGCCCGCACAAGCGGUGGAGCAUGUGGUUUAAUUCGAUGCAACGCGAAGAACCUUACCUGGCCUUGACAUACUAGAAACUUUCCAGAGAUGGAUUGGUGCCUUCGGGAAUCUAGAUACAGGUGCUGCAUGGCUGUCGUCAGCUCGUGUCSUGAGAUGUUGGGUUAAGUCCCGCAACGAGSGCAACCCUUUUCCUUACUUGCCAGCAUUUCGGAUGGGAACUUUAAGGAUACUGCCAGUGACAAACUGGAGGAAGGCGGGGACGACGUCAAGUCAUCAUGGCCCUUACGGCCAGGGCUACACACGUGCUACAAUGGUCGGUACAAAGGUUGCUACACAGCGAUGUGAUGCUAAUCUCAAAAAGCCGAUCGUAGUCCGGAUUGGAGUCUGCAACUCGACUCCAUGAAGUCGGAAUCGCUAGUAAUCGCGGAUCAGAAUGCCGCGGUGAAUACGUUCCCGGGCCUUGUUCACACCGC
rnacentral:rRNA from 1 species